rnacentral:rRNA from 1 species
AGUGAACGCUGGCGGUAGGCCUAACACAUGCAAGUCGAACGGCAGCACAGUAAGAGCUUGCUCUUACGGGUGGCGAGUGGCGGACGGGUGAGGAAUACAUCGGAAUCUACUUUUUCGUGGGGGAUAACGUAGGGAAACUUACGCUAAUACCGCAUACGACCUACGGGUGAAAGCAGGGGAUCUUCGGACCUUGCGCGAUUGAAUGAGCCGAUGUCGGAUUAGCUAGUUGGCGGGGUAAAGGCCCACCAAGGCGACGAUCCGUAGCUGGUCUGAGAGGAUGAUCAGCCACACUAGAACUGAUACGCGAUCCAGACUCCUACGGGAGGCAGCAGUGGGGAAUAUUGGACAAUGGGCGCAAGCCUGAUCCAGCCAUACCGCGUGGGUGAAGAAGGCCUUCGGGUUGUAAAGCCCUUUUGUUGGGAAAGAAAAGCAGCAGGUUAAUACCCCGCUGUUCUGACGGUACCCAAAGAAUAAGCACCGGCUAACUUCGUG